rnacentral:rRNA from 1 species
AGUGAACGCUGGCGGUAGGCCUAACACAUGCAAGUCGAACGGCAGCACAGUAAGAGCUUGCUCUUACGGGUGGCGAGUGGCGGGCGGGUGAGGAAUACAUCGGAAUCUACUUUUUCGUGGGGGAUAACGUAGGGAAACUUACGCUGAUACCGCAUACGACCUACGGGUGAAAGCAGGGGAUCUUCGGACCUUGCGCGAUUGAAUGAGCCGAUGUCGGAUUAGCUAGUUGGCGGGGUAAAGGCCCACCAAGGCGACGAUCCGUAGCUGGUCUGAGAGGAUGAUCAGCCACACUGGAACUGAGACACGGUCCAGACUCCUACGGGAGGCAGCAGUGGGGAAUAUUGGACAAUGGGCGCAAGCCUGAUCCAGCCAUACCGCGUGGGUGAAGAAGGCCUUCGGGUUGUAAAGCCCUUUUGUUGGGAAAGAAAAGCAGCAGGUUAAUACCCCGCUGUUCUGACGGUACCCAAAGAAUAAGCACCGGCUAACUUCGUG